CUUGCAGCUUUCUAUAAUUCUGUUGUCCCUCACACCAGCAUGGCUACAGGUAUCUAAUCAAUGUAGAGGACCGUAGGCUAAGUUCAUUCCAAAAAGUACGGUUGUAGUGAGCCCAAAAUGCAUUUUUGGAAGCCAAAACUAGAUGCUUCAUCAAGAAGUUGAAAUGCUUCUGAUAGAAAAUCCUCGAAUAGCACCAGUAUUAGCAGCUUGAAAGCCUGAGUGGUAAAAGCCUGCUCUC
rnacentral:lncRNA from 1 species